GGCAAGUCCGGGCAAGAGGCGGGGGUAAUACGGGGGUGGGGAGCGUUUUCCGGAAUCACUGGGCGUAAAGGGCGUGUAGGCGGGACGUUAAGUCUGGUUUUAAAGACCGCAGCUCAACUGCGGGAGUGGACUGGAUACUGGCGUUCUAGACCUCUGGAGAGGUAACUGGAAUUUCUGGUGUAGCGGUGGAAUGCGUAGAUACCAGAAGGAACACCAAUGGCGAAGGCAGGUUACUGGACAGAAGGUGACGCUGAGGCGCGAAAGUGUGGGGAGCAAACCGGAUUAGAUACCCUGGUAGUC
rnacentral:rRNA from 1 species